rnacentral:rRNA from 1 species
AUUGAACGCUGGCGGCAGGCCUAACACAUGCAAGUCGAGCGGCAGCGGGAAAGUAGCUUGCUACUUUUGCCGGCGAGCGGCGGACGGGUGAGUAAUGCCUGGGAAAUUGCCCAGUCGAGGGGGAUAACAGUUGGAAACGACUGCUAAUACCGCAUACGCCCUACGGGGGAAAGCAGGGGACCUUCGGGCCUUGCGCGAUUGGAUAUGCCCAGGUGGGAUUAGCUUGUUGGUGAGGUAAUGGCUCACCAAGGCGACGAUCCCUAGCUGGUCUGAGAGGAUGAUCAGCCACACUGGAACUGAGACACGGUCCAGACUCCUACGGGAGGCAGCAGUGGGGAAUAUUGCACAAUGGGGGAAACCCUGAUGCAGCCAUGCCGCGUGUGUGAAGAAGGCCUUCGGGUUGUAAAGCACUUUCAGCGAGGAGGAAAGGUCAGUAGCUAAUAUCUGCUGGCUGUGACGUUACUCGCAGAAGAAGCACCGGCUAACUCCGUG